rnacentral:rRNA from 1 species
GAUUAACGCGAAGAACCUUACCUGGCCUUGACAUGCAAGUAGUAGAAGGAUGAAAGUCUGACGAGGUAGCAAUACCAGCUUGCACAGGUGCUGCAUGGCUGUCGUCAGCUCGUGUCGUGAGAUGUUGGGUUAAGCCCCGCAACGAGCGCAACCCUUGUGUCCUGUUGCCACUCGAACGAGAGUUCGAAGCACUCUGGACAGACUGCCUCGCUUAAACGAGGAGGAAGGUGGGGAUGACGUCAAGUCAGUAUGGCCCUUACGGCCAGGGCUGCACACGUACUACAAUGCCCGGCACAAAGGGAAGCAAGAUCGUAAGAUGGAGCAAAUCCCCAAAAACCGGGCCCAGUUCAGAUUGUCGUCUGCAACUCGACGGCAUGAAGUUGGAAUCGCUAGUAAUGGCGCAUCAGCUACGGCGCCGUGAAUACGUUCCCGGCCUUGACACACCGAAUC